AGUGCAGGCAGGGGCUCAGGGAUCUGUAUCAGCCCUGUGUGCAGUGAUCACUAUGGUGUCCCACAGCUGCUGGCUGCCUCUACUCAUGCUCUGGCUUCCCGGUUCCUAUGGGCAGAUUGUGCUGACUCAGUCCCCAGAUUAUGUCUCUGUGUCACCGGGAGAAACUGUCACCUUCACAUGUAAAUCUGCUACCAAGCUUUUGGCAGACAACUACUACAGGUUACAGUGGUACCAACAGAAAUCAGGGCAGGCACCAAAGAUGCUGAUCUAUAGGGGAACCUAUCGACACACAGGGACCCCAGAGCGGAUCAGCGGCAGCGGUUCUGGAACUGAUUUCACCCUUACAAUCAGCAGAAUGGAAGCAGAAGAUGCAGCAGAUUAUUACUGUAUGCAGACAUACACUUACCCUUUCACACAGUGAUACAGAGCUGAACAAAAACCUUCCCCUUUAUGAAGAUCUGUGAAUACAAGAAACUGACAGUCAGCGCCUCACUGGCAUCAGUUCCGUUGGGUGCCGGU